UACAGAGGGGGCAAGCGUUGUUCGGAAUUACUGGGCGUAAAGGGCGCGUAGGCGGCCUGCUAAGUCGAACGUGAAAUCCCUGGGCUCAACCCAGGAACUGCGUCCGAUACUGGUUGGCUUGAAUCCGGGGAGGGAUGUGGAAUUCCAGGUGUAGCGGUGAAAUGCGUAGAUAUCUGGAGGAACACCGGUGGCGAAGGCGACAUCCUGGACCGGUAUUGACGCUGAGGCGCGAAAGCCAGGGGAGCAAACGGG
rnacentral:rRNA from 1 species